CUUGAACCUGGGAUAUGUAGGUUGCAGUGAGCCAAGAUCACGCCACUGCACUCCAGCUCGGGUGACAGAGUGAGACUUUGUCCCCUCUGCAAAAAAGGAAGUGGAGAUUAGGACACAGAUACACACAGAGGGAUGACUGUGGGAAGACACGAGAAGACGGCCAUCUGCAAGCCAAGGAGAGAGGCCUCAGAAGAAAGAGACCCUGCUGUCACCUUGAUCUCAAACUUCCAGCCUCCAGGACUGUGAGGCAAUGCAUUUCUACUACUUAAGCCACGCGGUCUGGGUGCUCUGUUACCUGCAGGCCGAGCAAACCAAUGCAGGUGCCCCUCAGCCUCUUCCCUCUGGCUCCCAGCCCCCACCCACUCGCAUUGGCUGUUGCGUGCAGGCCUCUGCCAUCUGUCUGCCUUCUGUCUGGCUUCCUUUCCACUUCUGUACCUUCUACCCAGCGGACUCCUCCAUCUCCGGUUCUCCUUCUCGAGGUAUAAUUAUAGCUGCUGGCACUAGUGCCUGUCUCCUCUGUGCCAAAGUGUGUUCCUGGCCAUCAGAGGCCGUAUCUUAUUAACACCAACCCGGUAACCCUGGGAGGCAGGAGCUAUCAUUAGCUCUCUUAUACCAAAGCGAUGCAGCACCCAAGGCUUCCAGAGAGGAAGGGGGAUGCCCAGGGCCACGCAGCUAGCAUGUAAAAGAUAAUCUGUCACCUGGGCAUGGUGGCACAUGCCUGUGGUCCCAGCUACUCAGGAAGCUGAAGUGGGAGGAGUGAUUGAGCCCAGGCGUUCGAGGCUACAGUGGGCUGUGAUUGCACCAUCGCACUCCAGCCUAGGCGACAGAGGGAGACCCUGUCUCAAAAAUUAAAAUAGAAGCCCGGCACGGUGGCUCACUAACAAUUUUGAAAUUCUUAGUCAUCUUCGACCAACAGGCCCUGCACAUUUUUCCUUUCCUUUUUUUUCUUUUCUAGCUGAUUGCAGCCUCGAACUCCUGGGCUCAAGUGAUCCUGUUACCUCAGCCUCCCAAGUAGCUGGGAAUACAGGUGCAUGUCACCACUCCCGGCCUUUUUUUUUUUCUUUGAGAGAGAGUCUUGUUCUUGUUGCCCAGGCUGGAAUGCAAUGGCGUGAACUCGACUCACUGCAACCUCUGCC
rnacentral:lncRNA from 10 species